GCAGGCAAAGCUGUCUGUCCCAGGUCGCUCGGCGCUGCAGAGUCAGUUUGCAGGAUGGCGAAUCUGGGAACGUACGUGAUUUUCUUCUCUGCUGGCUCUUGGGUCUGGUAUCCCUUACCCUUGGUCUAGUAUUGAAAUGUCAGAGCACAGGAAUGGUGACAGCGGUGAGAUGUUCCAGGCACCUGAAUACGUGAUUAACAACUCAAGAGUUUUCAGGCUGGGUUUGUCACUGAUUUGCAUGG